UGUUUAAAUUCUACAAAUUUUGAGUAUAAAUUUAAGCAAAUGAUUUGUGUCUGAAUUCCGCAUAUUACGGCUGUAAUUUCCAUUGAUAUUUUACAGCUUUUUAUCAUCGCAGUUGAAGCUUGACGGCUGGAUUUUGCCAAAUUUCCCAAUCAUCAUUUUCUGCAAAGGUGAAAACGUUUAAUGCUGAGAAUAUUUUCGCCAUGGAAGACGGUGGAGCCUAUAAGACUGCAGUACAGAGUGGCAUUGGAGAACAAGUCGACCCUUCGCUUCAAAAAAAUAAGAGACGAAAUUCACAAAUAAUUCCAAUGAUAGUGAAGCAAUUGAUCUCUAUGCUUCAACAAGCAUCACAAAAUCUUAAUAUGUCCUCUCAAAAUCUUCAACUC